GAAAGCCGGGUGCGGGAAAUCCGCAUGCCCGGUUUGACGAGCGGCGACUGGAAACGGAGCAUGGUCCGAAAUGAGGCACCGGCACUCAGCGAAAGCUGCCGGCCAACGGCAACUCCUCGGAACCUGUAGCCACCGCGCCAGUCGUCGACUCUAC
rnacentral:ncRNA from 1 species